CAUGCGGUGGAGCAUGUAGUCUAAUUCGAAGCAACGUGUAGCACCUUACCAGGUCUUGACAUCCUGGGGCCCGGUGUAGAGAUACGCCUUUCCAUUCGGGGACAGCGGUGACAGGUGGUGCAUGGUUGUCGUCAGCUGGUGAUCGUGAGAUGUUGGGUUAAGUCCCGCAACGAGCGCAACCCUUGAUCUUAGUUGCCAGCAUUCAGUUGGGCAAUGUAAGGUGAUUGCCGGUGACAAACCGGAGGAAGGUGGGGAUGACGUCAAAUCAUCAUGCCCCUUAUGACCUGGGCUACACACGUGAUACAAUGGACGGUACAAAGGGCUGCAAACCCGGGAGGGGGAGCCAAUCCCAGAAAACCGUUAUCAGUUAGGAAUGCAGGAUGCAACUCGCCUGCAUGAAGCAGGAAUCGCUAGUAAUCGUGGAUCAGCACCCCACGGUGAAUACGUUCCCGGGCCUUGUACACACC
rnacentral:rRNA from 1 species